CCUACGGGAGGCAGCAGUGGGGAAUAUUGCACAAUGGGGGAAACCCUGAUGCAGCGACGCCGCGUGAGUGAAGAAGUAAUUCGUUAUGUAAAGCUCUAUCAGCAGGGAAGUAAAUGACGGUACGUGAGUAAGAAGCUCCGGCUAACUACGUGCCAGCAGCCGCGGUAAUACGUAGGGGGCAAGCGUAAUCCGGAUUAACUGGGUGUAAAGGGAGCGUAGACGGCCGUGCAAGUCUGGAGUGAAAGGCGGGGGCUCAACCCCCGGACUGCUCUGGAAACUGUACGGCUGGAGUGCAGGAGAGGUAAGUGGAAUUCCUAGUGUAGCGGUGAAAUGCGUAGAUAUUAGGAGGAACACCAGUGGCGAAGGCGGCUUACUGGACUGUAACUGACGUUGAGGCUCGAAAGCGUGGGGAGCAAACAGGAUUAGAUACCCUGGUAGUC
rnacentral:rRNA from 1 species